UAAGAAUAAGGAAAUAUGCUGAAGUUCGGAAAAAAAAGGGUCAAAAGAUAAGAGAGAGUUAGAGUGGGGAAUAGCAGCCUUCCUCUUCUCCCUUACCAUUUCCGUUCCAUUUCUUCUUCUUCUUCUCUCUCUAAAUUGUCAAACUCCCAAAUUCUUCUAAACUACUGAAAUCCUCUAAAAUUGAAGCCAUCAAAUGAAAAUUUAAGAAGAUUGAAACCAUAAUCUAAGGUUUUCAAUUGAGAUUGAAGAUGGAUUAUAUAAGUUGUAAGCAAGCUUUGAUUCAAAGAAGAACAUAAUUGAAGCAUGAUUGAAUUCAAGAUUGGCUCAAGAGGUAAUACCUCUGUUAUGUUACAGUAAAUAGGAAAGCUAAUAAAUAAGGUAUAAACUGUUAUGAUAUGGCUGUGAUAUCUACUUGUUGGAUAACGGGUGAAUAGUUUUGUUGUACGGAGUUAUAAGGAUGGGAAAUAUGGAUCAAACCAUAACCAAUUGGUUGUGAAAUCUGAAAUUUAAAAUAGUGCACAUGAUGUUUGUUAAAAGUCCUCUUAGGGGCUGUUUUGAUUAAAAGACUGAAAUUAAGCAAGGUAAGGCAAAGAUGUCUAAUGGCAUGAUAUAUGAAAUUAAUUAAAUGACUUGUAUGGAUUGAAUUAAGAAAGAAAGCUAUUUUUUUUGAAGGGAAACAACAAGUUAGAGUUGAAAAAAAAAAUUGUCCGGUAGGGCAGAUUGGGCACUUAAUAAAGUUUACUCAAGAUGCUUGUUUGGGAUAUGUUAUAUUUUUCAAAAAUACCUUGCAAUGCCCUCUAUAACAUGUUAGGAUUUUGUUUUAAUCGCAUAUAUAGUCUGCAAUCUAGAAACAAAAAUCAUGAAGUGAGCAACUUGGUCAUGGACUGCAAUGUGCUUUUAUAUCUGAUUUGGCAUAGCAGUUUUGAAACUCAAUAGAAUCUAUCUAGAAUGCUCCUUUAGGUAGUGUUCUAUUUUAAAACAAAUAGCUUGCUAUGCCCUCUGCAAUAUACCAGAACUUGGAUUUUAUUUGAUGCGUAGUUUGAGGAUUUCAAAUUAGUAAAACAUAUUAGAAACCGAAAACUAAUUUGGCUGCUGUCCUUAAAAGAAAAAUUCGGGGCUACCUAGACUUUCCAAAAAAUUCUGGGCUUCUGGGGAUGUGUAGUACAUUGAAUAAGGAAUCCAUAGACUCCAGAACGGACUAAUUCCGACUUCGGAGUAAAGAGUUAUGACCGUUCAAUGUAGUGGCGUCAAAACUGUCUAACCAACUCGGGGCAGUCACCUUGAACGAAUUUUCUGGAAUUCUGUGUUUAGAAUUUGGAAAAGUUCAAAGAAUAGAAGUUGUAGUCCCGGAAGUUAGCUUCUCCUGGGUUCAAGAAUCGCUCAAAAAUGUUUUGAAACGAAAAAGUUAUGACUGUUUUAGCGAGAGAGGGUAAAACUGCGAAAAAGUUAAAAACUAUUAUGAUUGGGCAUUUUUAAGGCCUGUUUUGGGCUGUUUAUAAAACCCAAAAUGGAUGGUUUGUAUUUUCUUAAAAUAGUCUUGUAUGGUGUCUAUAAUAUAUUAAAAUUUGGUAGCAAUCAGACUUGUGAGCAAAGAAUUAGAAAAUGACAAAGUAGCCGCAAAGCAUAGGAGUGUGCUGCCCAUAAGCAGCAGUAGCAGCAAGAAGGCUGCUACCUGCUGCCUUUUUGAGCUUGCUUUUGACUCGCUUAGAAUGUCCGAAAUGUACGGAUAGUAUUUUUUAAAAAUAGGUGGACAUACCACCUAUAACAUAUCCAAAAUAGAUCGGAAUCGCACAGGCGAAAUGGAAACUAAAAAUACGCGAAGUAGAGUGUCAGAACAUGUUCGCUGGCAGCCUAGGGCAAGCCCGCCUGGGCCAAGCCAAGGGCAGCUGGGCCCAGUCCGACACGGCGACGCGGUUUUCAAAACAAAAUGCAAUAUUUGAUGUCGUGACACGUAUUUUAAUGUCAGGACGCGGAUUUCAAGGUUUUUGAUAGUUAAGCGUAUCCCGAAGCACCUAGAUGGAUAUGAAAUGCAAUCUAACAACCAUAUGACGCGUAUAUUUGUUCAUAUUAUACUAGAAGAUAUGAAAACAAUAUGUAAACAUAGGUUUACAUAUAUAAUGAUAAAUCAUCCGUAUAUUGGGAAUACGUGAAUAAUGUGAAAGAACUAUCCUAAAAGCUAUACCUCGAAAAUAAAUAGUUUUCGAAAUGCAAAGCAAGAAUUGUGCAUAUGGAGUUGAAAACUCAUUAUUGGUAUAUAUAAGCUAUGUAUAUACAUAAAAUAUACAAAUAACUUAUAUUUACAUACGAGCUAAGCAAGCAAUGCAUGAAUUUGCAUUACGGUUAANNNNNNNNNNNNNNNNNNNNNNNNNNNNNNNNNNNNNNNNNNNNNNNNNNNNNNNNNNNNNNNNNNNNNNNNNNNNNNNNNNNNNNNNNNNNNNNNNNNNAUAUAUAAAUAUAUAUAUAUAUAUAUAUAUAUAUAUAUAUAUAUAUAUAUAUAUAUAUAUGUACUUUACGUAUACAUUAAAAGUGAAAAGUACUGUUAUAUAGACACGUUAAGCAUUGAAAGAUAUUAUACAUGCAACAUGGAGUCUAAGUUACUCACGAAAGCAAAGUUAAGCUAGAAACACACAAAGGAAGUCACGGAUGCACUAUGUAACUAUAAGUUUACAUAUAGAUGUAUAUUAAGCCUAUAAAUGCAAUGUAAAAAGUUUAUAAACUGUAAAUGUAGUGAAUUGACAUUGUAAAAGCGGUGUUGGAACUUUUUGAGAAUGUAUGGCUAUAUUAAUCCAAAACCUAAAAUAUUCAAGAGGAAUAUGGAGGUUUCUUGGAAAUAAGAAUUUCAGAUAUUGAUAUAGUUUAUGUGAAUAUUUACUAACCAUACAGGUUAUGGGAUAUGAAUGUGUGACUAAUGUAUGCAUACAUGUGAACAUAACUGUGUAGGAUUCGUGAAGUGAAGUAAACUAAAGUUUGUAUCAAUGGUCAUUGAACGAGACAAGUUUUUCAAUUAUAUUAUGUUUGUGGAUUAAAUGUGAUUAUGUGGUGAGCUUCAUACCAUGCUUUAUGAAUUGUUAAAGUCAAAAUAUGACUAAGUUAAUUGGGUUAUGGAACUCAAUUUAUAUGUGAUAUGUGAUAGUACAUGUUGUAUGAAGUAACUCGAUAAAUUAGAAAUGUAUAAUACAUGAAUGUAUGCUUUGUAAGGAAUUAUUGUUGCAUGUAGGAUAUGCAUAGUAAAGAAUAUAUGUUGCAUGCAGAUAUGCAUAGUAAAGGAAAUAUAGUGCAAAUGGAAUUGUGUGGUAUGUGAAACAUGAUAGACUGUUAAAUUUGCUGGGCUAUCGAGCUCAAUCUUGCAAACACAAACUUUUUGUAGGUUAAUGAUGUUAAGCAAUAUUACUUGCUAUACGGAUGAUGAAGAUUAAACGAGGUGCAAAAUGAAUACAUUUCCUUGAAUUAGAAAUGGUAUAAAUCUAUGAUUGAUAGUUUUGUCAAAUGUAAUUGGCAGUUAUGUAUAGUUUGAAAUGUGGAAUGGAUAAAAAAUGUUUAUUCUAAAAUGAGUAUAGAUAUGAUUUUAGUAUAAAGAAGAAUUGUAAAGGUUGCGAUUUAGGGAAUGAAUGAAUGGAAAGGAAAAAAAAUGUAUUCCAUAUUUUUAGCUAUUUUAACAUUAAAUAAUGUUUUAAAGCUAGAACAUGAUAAUUUUAACGCACAAGAUCGGGAAGGAAAAUAGUCCCGAUUUUGGGGGCGUUACAAUCCAUGCUUGCUUGAUUGGCCAUCUGGUUGAUGGAAUUGGAAUCUAGUUAGCUGGAUUGCAAUUUGGUUUGCUGGAUAGGCCAUCUGGUUGCUGGAUUGCAAUUUAGUUUGCUGGAUUGUAAUCUGGUUGCUGGAAUUGUAAUCUAGUUUGCUGGAUUGCAAUUUGGUUUGAUGAAUUGACAAUCUAGGUUGCUGGAUUGGUGUUUGGAUAAUCCAAGUUGUUGGAUUAGUAUUUGACUUAUUAGAUUUUAAAGAAUAACUUAUAAUAUUGGGACAUGUAUUUCAUUAAUAUUUGAAAUUAAUUAAAUAUUAAUGAUAAUGGAAUUAUGUGGUAUUUAAAAAUGAUAUUAAUGAUUGAAAAAUCAUUAUAAAUGAUAAUAAUUAUUUGAAAAUUAUUAUGAGCUUCCGUUACUGAUAGUUGAAUUAUCUAAAAUAAUAUUGAAGCAGUUAAGUAGAGUUUUAUUUAUAAUAAACUCAAUAAUUAUCCGAUAAGGCAAUCGGGACAUUGAAAUAGUUCCGAACUUAAAUCAGACUGAAAUAGUUUGACUUGAUAUCGGGUCGUAUGUGUUUUAGUGACUGUUAGGGAUAUGUGACAAGUAUUUAAGUUGUAUAAGGACUAUAAUUAACAGUAAUAUAUGUGAUGAUAUUAUUUUAAUUGAGAGAUCGAUAUUAUUAAUAAUAGGUCUUUCAAUUGAAGCUAAAAUAGAUUGUGUAACAGUAAUCGAUGGUACAUGCAAGUUCUCUAACUCGAACUCGAGUUGUUAUUGUAAAGCAUGUUCGUCAUUAUUGAUUAUAUCACAUCUAUUGUUUAUUGGUUCGCUCGUUGUGCAUGUUGCAUAUAUUCAUCAGAUAUGAAAAGCUGAUCACCUUCAUUAUCAUUUGGUUCAGUUAAAUUUGUUCAUGUUUAUUUUAUGCCAUUCAACUUUAUUGACUCGGUCAUUCAGUUAUAGAAAUUGAUUCAUAUUCUUUCACAAUUAUUAUAUUGUUGAGUUUGUCAGCUUAUUAUUUAUUCUUUCAAUCAUGAUAUAUCUUUCUUUGUAUAUAAAACUUGCUGGGCAAACUUGUUGCUCACCCUUGCUAUAUCAUGAUAAACAUUUCAGAUUAAGAUGAAAACUUCGGAUACAGGUAAAGACAAAGACACAUUCCAGAAUUGGGAUAUGGUACAGUUAAAAUUGUAAUAAUAUUGAAGGCAAAUAACAUUGUAAGUCCUGUAGUAUAUGAAUGUGUGUAUUAAGUUAAGGUUAUCGACCUUGGGGAUUAUGUUGUAAAGGUUAUUGUAUAAACAAUUUAUGUUUAUAUCUUUCGCAAUAGUUAUAGAAAUAAUGUACCAGGUUUGUGGAGAUUAGUACCCAGAUUUGGGACGCUACAGAAACUGGUACUCCAUGUCUAGAAACGAUCUUCUUAACAUAGUGUUUAGCUAACUGAUCUUAAUUAAAUUUGACUCUUAUUGGC
rnacentral:lncRNA from 1 species